GUCCACGCCGUAACGUUGGGCGCUAGGUGUGGGACCUAUCCACGGUCUCCGUGCCGCAGCUAACGCAUUAAGCGCCCCGCCUGGGGAGUACGGCCGCAAGGCUAAAACUCAAAGGAAUUGACGGGGCCCGCACAAGCGGCGGAGCAUGCGGCUUAAUUCGAUGCAACGCGAAGAACCUUACCAAGGCUUGACAUACACCGAAAACUCGUAGAGAUACGGGGUCCUUCGGGGCGGUGUACAGGUGGUGCAUGGUUGUCGU
rnacentral:rRNA from 1 species